UACGUAGGGGGCUAGCGUUGUCCGGAAUCAUUGGGCGUAAAGCGCGUGUAGGCGGUCCGGUAAGUCCGCUGUGAAAGUCGAGGGCUCAACCCUCGAAUGCCGGUGGAUACUGUCGGGCUAGAGUACGGAAGAGGCGAGUGGAAUUCCUGGUGUAGCGGUGAAAUGCGCAGAUAUCAGGAGGAACACCAGCGGCGAAGGCGGCGCUCUGGGCCGGAACUGACGCUGAGGUGCGAAAGCGUGGGGAGCAAACAGG
rnacentral:rRNA from 1 species